UACAGAGGGGGGCAGCGUUAUUCGGAAUUAUUGGGCGUCAAGGGCGCGUAGGCGGCCAUGCGUGUCUUCCGUGAAAUCCCUCGGCUUAACUGAGGACGUGCGGAAGAAACUGCAAGGCUCGAGUCCGGGAGAGGGGGGUGGAAUUCCCAGUGUAGCGGUGAAAUGCGUAGAUAUUGGGAGGAACACCGGUGGCGAAGGCGGCCCCCUGGACCGGUACUGACGCUGAGGCGCGAAAGCGUGGGUAGCAAACGGG
rnacentral:rRNA from 1 species